GCAAUAGAAUAGCUUUUCUCAAAGGUGGUCGGUACCGUCCCGAAAGGGGGUGGUGCUGUAUGACAGUUUUUGAAGCGUUGACGCUUGUAUGUGCAUUUGCAGGCUUAGUCGUGGCUGUACUGUCAUUUAACCAAAAAAAAUAAUCCACCUUUGAGUUAACAGGCUCGGUGGAUUAUUUCUGCUUGUUGCCGAUCCCCUUUACAGGAACUUUCUGUUGUAAGACCGUUUGGUGUAACUAGCACCAGCG
rnacentral:sRNA from 1 species